rnacentral:rRNA from 1 species
GAUGAACGCUGGCGGCGUGCCUAAUACAUGCAAGUCGAGCGAACAGACGAGGAGCUUGCUCCUAUGACGGUAGCGGGGGACGGGUGAGUAACAUGGGGAUAAAAUAACUAUAAGACUGGGAUAACUUCGGGAGACCGGAGCUACUACCGGAUAAUAUAUUGAACCGCAUGGGGCAAGAGUGAAAUAAGGUUUUGCGGUCACUUAUAGAUGGAUCCGCGCUGCAUUAGCUAGUGGGUAAGGUAACUGCUUACCAAGGCAACGAUGCGUAGACGACCCGAGAGCGUGGUCGCCCAGACUGGAUCUGAGACUGGUCCCAGACACCUACGGGAGGCAACAGUACAGAAUCUUACGCAAUGGGCCAAUGCCUGACGGAGCACCGCCGCGUGAGUGAUGAAGGUCUUCGGCUCGUAAAGCUCUGUUGUCCGUAGAGUACAAAUGUGCAAGUACCUAUGAUCAUAUUGACGGUACCUAGUCAGAAAGCCCCGGCUAACUACGUG